rnacentral:rRNA from 1 species
AUUGAACGCUGGCGGCGGGCUUAACACAUGCAAGUCGAACGAGUGGCGGACGGGUGAGUAAUGCUUGGAAAUCUGGCUUAUGGAGGGGGAUAAUGACGGGAAACUUUCGCUAAUACCGCGUACCUUAGGCUGAGCCCAGGUGGGAUUGGGUAGUUGGUGUGGUAACGGCCUACCAAGCCGACGAUCCCUAGCUGGUCUGAGAGGAUGACCAGCCAAACCGGGACGGAGACACGGCCAGGACUACUACGGGAGGCAGCAGUGGGGAAUAUUGCGCAAUGGGCGCAACCUGACGCAGCCAUGCCGCGUGAGUGAAGAAGGCCUUCGGCUUGUAAAGUUCUUUCGUUGAUGAGGCGUUAAUCACUGAGGAAGCACCGGCUAACUCCGUGCCAGCAGCCGCGGUAAUUC